rnacentral:tRNA from 1 species
AGGGGUGUAGCUCAACCCGGAAGAGCACCGGAUUCCAAACCCGACGGUUGCAGGUUCGAAUCCUGUCACCCCUGCCU